CGGAGGCGGCCAGCCAAGCCGAGAGAAGAUUGAAAACUGCCUGACAUCACGAACAAUGUGGGAAAGCUUGAGACCUUACUCUCCUCUAGUUGUCACGCGACAAGCACGUGGAGGUGUUGCUGGACUUCGCUCUGCUUUUGAACAGAGGCCCAAGAGGACCCAUUUGUGACAUCUUAGCAGUUUUAUCCAUGUAAUCGAUUGGCUGAAAACUGAAAAGUUUGUUCAGGAGGUGUUGUUACAAUGGAGUGAGAAGUCACCCUUGGCUGCCUCAAGAAUCACUUGGUGGGUGCUAAUAUCUAGGAGUUGGAGGAGGUGCCAAUUGUAUGCCAAUGGCCCGUAGACUCUGACUAAAAUUUCCUAAGUUAGGAGAGAAGAGGGCCAUGGCAUAUACCAUAGACAAGUAGUAAAUGAACUUUUGCCGAAGCAUUAAUUCAUUCCUAAGCCAGGGGUUCUUGGAAUUCAUUUGGAGCAAACCCCAGUCCUUUACAAAGUCCCAAUACAAUUGGUACACUGUUGCAGCACUGGACAUGACCACAAGAAGACAGAGCCAUCCAGCACCACCAUCUUUCUCGUAGGCCACUUUUGCUCCUGCUGCGAACAUGGCUGAUACAUAUUUGCCUAGAUUGACAAGGUGGCUUGUCUGGCCCUCAUCGAACCACCGCCGGGCACACUGCAAGUUCAGGUAAAUUGAUUAUUGAGAAAAGGAGAUGAACAUAUAAUUUUAUACAGUUUAUGAAAAUCAAGGAACUAAUUUAGGGUGAACUGGAGAGAUUAAUACUGUACCUGCAUUGCCCUCCAGUAAUAUGGUAGAAAAGAAACUGCAUAAACAAGAUCCCGGUAAUGCCUGGCCUCCUUGCAAUGCAUAUAGUCCUCGGUUUUAUAGCUCCCAGUUAUAUAGUAACACGCCACAUAUUCUAGAUUUCUGAGCAUUGGCACCUAUUUAAGAUAGCAAAGCAUUUUGUUAAUCUAUGAGGUUUGAGGCACCUAAUGAUUAUUUAGACUCUUUAAGGUUUCCCAAGUUUUGUUGCUCUUAUUUGGUGCUGAAACCAACCUGACUACAUAGUUGAUCAGCCAUGAAAAAGUCCAGCAUGACAACCUGCAGAGAAUAAGAUAAAUGAAUUAGAAUGACAAUUUUUGAUAUAAUAUAUUAUUAAAAGAAAAUGUUUAUAAGCGUAUCUGAAUGAUCUUAUUGUGAUAUAAAGAUGAUGGAGUGUUGAAGUAAUGUGGUACCUUGUAGAGAGGUGAUAAAAUGAUGUUCCUUAUCACACUAAGGAAACGAUAACGGCUUGAUCGAUAGAAAAUAUUGAAGGGGCACACAAGUAAA